GGAGAGAUGUCCGAGUGGUUUAAGGAGCUGGUCUUGAAAACCAGUGACCCCGCAAGGGGCCAAGGGUUCGAAUCCCUUUCUCUCCGCCA
rnacentral:tRNA from 1 species